UACGCACAAACCAAUACACAUCUACCUGACAUACUCAUAUACAUACAUGCACAUAUGCACAAACCAAUACUCAUCUACCCAACACACACACAUACACACACGUACAUACACACACAUCUACCCAACACACACACUCAUAUACACGCAUGCAUAUACGCACAAACCGAUACACAUCUACCGACACACACACUCAUACACACACAUGCAUAUGCACAAACUGACACAUCUACCCAACACACACAUAUACACAAACACACAUAUGCAGAAAUCGACACACUACCUGACAUACUCAUAUACACACACUUAUACACACACGUACAUACAGACACCUGCCCAACACACACACUUAUACACACACGCACAUACACAGAUACACAUCUACCAAACACACACUCAUACGCACAUACACACAUACACACACAAAUACCCGAAGAUGCACAUCAUACCAAUACACAUCUACCUGACAUACACACUCAUAUACACACACGUACAUACACACACACCCAACAAACACACAUACAUACACACGCAAAUAUGCAUAGACACAAAUACCUGAACAGAUGCACAUCAUAAAAAUACACAUCUACCCCACAUACACACUCAUACACAUGCACAUUUGCACAAACCAAUACACAUCUACCCGACACACACACUCAUACACACACGUAUAUACAAACCAAUACACAUCUACCCAACACACACACGAACAUACAAACUGAAACACAUCUACCUGACACACGCACUCAUACACACACACUUAUACACACAAACCAAUACACAUCUACCCGACACACACACUCAUACACACACACGGGUACAUACAAACUGAUACACAGCUACCCGACAUACACACUCAUACACACACACGAACAUACAAACCAAUACACAUCUACCCGACAUACACACUCAUACACACAUGCACAUACACACAAACCGAUACACAUCUACCCGACACACACUCAUACACACAUGCAAAUAUGCACAGAUACACAUCUACCCAACACACACUCAUAUACACACACAUGCGUAUGCAGAUACACACACAUCUACCCAACAUACACACUCAUACACACACACACCUACCCAACAUACACUCAUAUACACACACAUACAAACGUGUGGGUGUGUGUACAUCCAGGCAGACACGUCCUUCUCUUUGAAACACCAAUUCUAUCACUUGAAGAAAACACAACACUUGUACAAAGCAAAGCAUCAAAUGUCAGAUUCAUUAACGGGGUGACCUGAGAACGGGCCAGCCACUUGUGCCUUGCUGGGCCCGUGAUGUCUGAAUUCUGAGACUCGUUAAGUUCAGAUCGACAUGAGGGCGG
rnacentral:lncRNA from 1 species